CGUCUGUUAGCAGACGGCUAAAAAUUCACAAGCGAAGUCGGGAGAGCAGGACGAAAUAGUAAUAUUGCGACCUGGAUACUGUUUUAUAACUACUCGGAUAUGCUUCUUUUAAGAAAAAACGAUGGAUUAUAAUUCCAUAUCGGUUAAAGCUACACAGGCUCAUCUGAACAUUUUCCGAAUGGUAAAUUACUGUGAAAACGAGGCGGAUUGUCGUCGAACUCAACAGCUGGACUACUUUACGGAACGUUUUACCCACCAGGAGUGUUUGGAAAAUCGAGCCACUGCUUACGACAACUGUCUAAUGCAGGGAGAGUAUAAGAGUGUCGAUGUUACGGAUGAAAAGCUAAUGAAUUGGGAAGUGUGCGUCAGUGUGCGAUGCUACAACGGCUUGUUUAAUAUUUGUCGAUCACUUGCGGUCCAGUAAAAUAACACUGGCAUCGGUUAUGAAUAUGCACUGUCACUUCCGUACGUAACGAAGAUACUGCUGCUAACGCAGAAAAUGCAGACAGUGCUAGUGAUUCCAGUGGUGAUGGCACUGGGCACUGAUUGAAGACGCUUGGCUCGUGAAGCUUCUACGAACAGUUAUGCCGGUAGUGGUGGAAAUCUGAAUCCA